rnacentral:rRNA from 1 species
UACGUAGGGGGGCUAGCGUUGUCCGGAAUCACUGGGCGUAAAGGGCGCGUAGGCGGCCUGAUAAGUCGGGGGUGAAAUUCUGCGGCUUAACCGCAGGACGGCCUUCGAGACUGUCGGGCUUGAGCACGGUAGAGGCUGGUGGAAUUCCCGGUGUAGCGGUGGAAUGCGUAGAGAUCGGGAAGAACAUCGGUGGCGAAGGCGGCCAGCUGGGCCGUUGCUGGACGCUGAGGCGCGACAGCGUGGGGGAGCAAACAGGAUUGAGAAAACCCGUUGGUAA